AUAAGAUCCCAGCAGUACAUGCACUAAAACUGGAAUAGAGAGAUUAGCACGGUCCCUGUACAAGGAUAACAACGCAAAUUUGUUACGUGUUCCAUAUUUAA
rnacentral:snRNA from 14 species